rnacentral:tRNA from 1 species
GCCGCCGUAGUCUAGCGGUUAGGAUGGCGGGUUGUGGUCCCGCUGACCCGGGUUCAAAUCCCGGCGGCGGCCCCU